UUUCAAUUCUGCUUGGGCCUAUUUUUGGAAAACAGUUUUUAUAAAAUUGUGUUUUCAUAGUGUUGGUUUUUAGAGAACAGCUUAAGGUAGUUUUCAGAAUUUUCAGCAUUGCUUGAAGACUCAAUAGAAAACACAGAGAACACUUCUCCACUUAAAAACUGACGCUACCCUCGCAUCGUUUCUAACGCAGCAUCCAUCUUCUCUCUCUUCAACCUUUCUGCAAUGCAUCUUCUUUCUCUUCAACCUUUCUGCCUGAUCUUGUUUAUAACACAAGCUCUGCAACACAUCCAUCUUCUCUCUCUUCAACCUCUCUACAACCCAUCUUCUCUCUCUUAAACCUCUCUGCAACGGCAUCUUCUCUCUCUUCAACCACUCUGCAACUAAGAGAAGGUAGAUCUGGCUCUUAAAGAUCGUUAUUUAUACAAAGAGAUGGGUGGAUCUGGUUCUUCAAGCUCUCUUUCUUCAGUUUAGGGAUUUGGUUUUCAAUUUAGGGAUUUGGAGGAAAGAGAGAGGAGACAACUUUAUGUUAAAAGCUUGAGGUAACCGCUUGUUGCACGAUUCAUAAUUUUAUUAGUCAAAAUGCACUAGUUGGUUGCUUUUUUAUGGAGUAUGAAGAAGAAGAUGAUGUUGUUGGUGAGGGGAAUGCUAGCACGAGUCAAGGACCGAAUGCAAUUAACUUCUACGAAGCAAAGUCUCAUGGGAUAGAAUCACAUACCUUUACAAGUGAUGUUCAUUCAAAUUUGAUCUAGAUGAUGUUUAUCCAAAUAAAAUCAUAUAUUUCAUUUUUUUCCAUGUCUUUUAAGUUUGUAUGAGAAGUGAGAUAGUUUAUGUACGUAAACAUUGAAUUAAUGUAAUGUUAUGAAUGAAAGAAACCCAGAAUUCCUGUGAUGAGAUGGUUUAUGUAUGUAGACAUUGAAUUCAUGUAAUCUUAUGAAUGAAAGAAGCCCCAUGACAGAAGUCUUUUUUCAUUUUUA